AAGGGUGCAGGGCGGAUGCCUUGGCACUAGGAGCCGAUGAAGGACGUGAUAAGCUGCGAUAAGCUUCGGGGAGUUGCACGUAAACUUUGAUCCGAAGAUUUCCGAAUGAGGAAACUCACUUAGAGUAAUGUCUAAGUAUCAUUAAGUGAAUACAUAGCUUAAUGAGGGGAACUCAGGGAACUGAAACAUCUAAGUACCUGAAGGAAGAGAAAGAAAUUCGAUUCCGUAAGUAGCGGCGAGCGAACGCGGAUUAGCCCAAACCAAUAAAGUUUUCUUUAUUGGGGUUGCGGACAUAUCAUAACGAAGAGGUAUCGUAAUUGAAG
rnacentral:rRNA from 1 species